rnacentral:rRNA from 1 species
GACGAACGCUGGCGGCGUGCUUAACACAUGCAAGUCGAACGGAAAGGCCCUGCUUUUGUGGGGUGCUCGAGUGGCGAACGGGUGAGUAACACGUGAGUAACCUGCCCUUGACUUUGGGAUAACUUCAGGAAACUGGGGCUAAUACCGGAUAGGAGCUCCUGCUGCAUGGUGGGGGUUGGAAAGUUUCGGCGGUUGGGGAUGGACUCGCGGCUUAUCAGCUUGUUGGUGGGGUAGUGGCUUACCAAGGCUUUGACGGGUAGCCGGCCUGAGAGGGUGACCGGCCACAUUGGGACUGAGAUACGGACCAGACUCCUACGGGAGGCAGCAGUGGGGAAUAUUGCACAAUGGGCGGAAGCCUGAUGCAGCAACGCCGGGUGCGGGAUGACGGCCUUCGGGUUGUAAACCGCUUUCGCCUGUGACGAAGCGUGAGUGACGGUAAUGGGUAAAGAAGCACCGGCUAACUACGUG